UUUGCGCAAAGGAUAGAAGCGGCAUCCUUUUUUGCCCUUAAAAGCAAAAAAGAUAUAGCUGAUAGCCUGGUCCCGA
rnacentral:sRNA from 1 species